ACAAGAACUUAAAAUCUACUCUCAUAGUAAUUUUCAAGUAUAUAAUAUAUUGUUAUUAACUGUAGUCCCCAUGUUAUACAAGAGAUCUCUUGAACUUAUUCCUCCUACCUAACCUCCUAGUUAAGAUUUCAUCUUGAUUGUUUUAUUUUCAACUUUUAUUUUAGACACAAGGGCACGUGCAGAUUCGUUACAUGGGAAUAUUGUGUGAUGCUAAGGUUUAGAGUAUAGAUCCCAUUACCCAGGUGAUGAACGUAGUAACCGAUAGGUAGUUUUUUAACCCACCUCCCCAACCUUCUUAGAGUCCACAUACUUAUGUCCAUAUGUGCUCAAAGUUUAGUUCCCACUUAGAAGUGAGAACAUGCAGUAUUUGGUUUUCUGCUCCUGUGUUAACUUGCUUAGGAUGCUGGCCUCCAGCUCCAUCCACGUUGCUGUAAACCAUACGGUGUCAUACUUUUUAUGGUUUCAUAGUAUUCUAUGGUGCAUAUGGACCAGUUUCUUGAUCCAAUCUACCAUUGCUGGGUUGAUUCCCUGUCUUUGCUAUUGUGAACGGCACAGUGAUGCACAUUUCAUGCAUGUGUCGUUUGGUAGAAUUACAUCUGCAAAGACCCUUAUUCCAAACAAAUAUUCCAAAGAUCCUUUAUUCCAAAUACAGCCACAUUCUGAGGUUUGAGGUAGACAUCUUUUGGGAGACACUAUUUCGACCCACUGCAUAUGCAGAUAUGUAAAGGCUCAAAACUAAAAACAGCCACUUUCUAUAAAAGAAGAGUUUGAAAUCAGAAUUCCUGCUUGCUUGCUCUUAAUCUCCCUCCAGCCAUACCCUGGGGACAGUUACUAAGUUUCCCUGGAGUGACUGUCUCCACAGGAAACUUAAGACCAGCACUUAUUCACCCUCCUAACAAACAAUAGAAUGAAGAGAAUGAGAGUACAUUGAAAAGGAAGGAAGUUGGUAUAAUAAUAAUAUUUCUAGGCCAUUUUUUCAAUAUUCAGAGGUUUUUCAAGGUUGUGAGGGGAGAAAGGGAUAAUAUGAUGCAGGAGGAUUGCUUUUCCUUUAAGCUGUGGUGCACCUGAUUCUCUCAUCUCAUACUGUUGCAUUUUACAAGAGAUAAUCUCCUUGCAAAUAAGGUGACACUUGAGCAGAUUGCGGUGGAAUCUCCCCGGGGGCAUUCAGAGGGCUGAAGCCUUGCCAAGCUGAAGGAAGAUGCGGGAGAAGCCAGCUGACCCUUGCUCUUAUCUGAUGGGAUUGUAACUGGCACCAACAUUUUCUAGCUUUUCAUUAAGAAGCUAUGUUUUAAGACAAUAGCAGGAACGAAAGAACCUAUUCUUUCUGUGCCAGCAUCCGUCCAGCUUAGAACAAAAUGUUAUUCAUGGCCAGGCUCCACCUUGCUGAGAAAGCCUGGUAUUUGUCUUUGCAGACAGUCCUUUUGACAUCCUUAGAAGGCCUCGUGGAGACCCCAGAGAGCUGUAACUACCUUAGGAGGAAGGUGACACUUGGACUUGAUGGGGGGGGCUGCCCACCCGUCAGCGGGCCUCUCCCAGUCUUGGUCUGCCCUUCCCAGAUUCAACAAAAUAAUCUGCCUAGAGUGUUUAGCCCAGCACCUGGCACUUGGAGGCCUGCAAAGAAUGUUCAUGGCUGCUGCCAUCAGACCACACUGUUCUUAGCAUCUGGACUCAGAUACCCGGGCGUCUGAAUCUGGCUAGCUCUGGGGCUAGAAGCUGCUGAGGCUCUGCCCUGCCUCCAGCCCCUUCGGGAUAUUCUGGGAGGGACCGCAGCUAACAUAUGCUAGGGGCAAAGCAGGAACAGCCUCUGCUCUGAAGGGGAGGCUUCCCAAGCCAACUUUUUUUCUUUUUAUCUGAUGGGAAGGGCUGAGUUAAGAGCCAGCAGCAGGGGACAGCACAAAUAAAUACAGAAAACCCUCUCCAGGAGCUGCGAUUGUGCUCAGCUCAAUGGCAAGCCCUGGAGAGCUGCUUAUCCAGUGGAGAUUGGAAAGUAAAAUAAAUGUGGUCCUACUACCCACCCUUCCGCAGACCCGACUCGCUAAGGCCUAUCCCUGAGCUCUGCCGGAGUCGAAGGGACGUGUGUGUUCAGAGUCCUGGUCUCCUGUGGGGAAGAAGGUGCAGAAGCGGGUUCUUAGGGCUGAGAUUCCCUGAAGCUUUGGGUGCUAUUCUCCCACCCACCCUGGCUUUCUAAGACGCUGCCAGCUCCAAGUCCCCGUCCUUCCCAGGGCUUUCCCGCCCACAGUGGGCCACCUCCAGCAGGGUGGGGCUGACAGAAACACCUCAGCAAUGAGCUGGGGGGAGAGUAGCCUUCUUCCAGCAAUGGGCAAGAGGGCUGGGGAGGACUGGUGGCUUUCUCCCGCUGAGGAAAUAUCCCCCAAGACUCUCAGGACCAGCAGCUCAGCUUUUACAGCCUUUGGUUCCUUUGAAGUGAGUCAAACCAUUGAAAAGAUCUUUCUGGAACAAACACCACCUUUCAUGGGAACAAGUCUUAGCUCUUCCGCAGGGAGUGUUUCUAAGCAUCCCUGGAGGAGGCUACAACAAUCCUCCUCACCCAGGAAACCCUCAGAGCAGCUAAGCCCCAACCUGGCACCUUUGGAUGCUUCAUUUGAGGAGUCUGCCAUGCUGGAUGGCCACAGUGCAUGGGGACACCCGUGACCCUCUCUGCAUAAUACUUGCCCAUUAGCAGAGUUUAGGACUGGAGAGACCGGAGUUUGAAUCCCAGCCCCACCACUCAGAGACAGUCUCUCUGGGUCUAUUUGGAAGCAACCUAAGGAAUAUAUGAAAGAAACCACAAAACAUGCUUAGUUCAGGGCUGGGCAAACAGAACAUGACAGGAGAGCUACUUCAUUAAUAAAAGCCAUUUAAAAUGCUCAUUGUUGUAUUACGCAGGCUCUUGUUCUGCAGAAAUUCUCAUAAUAAUCUUUUAGGGUAGGUAUCAUUAUUAUUCCUCUUUUCUGGACAUGGAAGUUGAGGCUUAAGGAAGUUAAACAAACUAUUAGUCACACAGAUAGCUACUGGUGGGGCUGGGACUCAAACCCAGGCAGCCUGAUGCUAUACCCUGCACUCGGCUCUGAGUAAUACUUCUGGUUAUUACUACACUAAUUAGCACAUCUUCAGGGAUCUCUAUCUUAGACUAUGCUUGGGUGGAGACCGUGCUGUUAUUGAAGUAUAUAAAAGAGGUUGUGGGCUUACUUUAAUCCUGGAGUAUUUAUAUAAAGACUAGAAGGAGAAUCCAUGAGGAAGGCCCUGUGAACACAAACAAAAUGACUAAAGGGAGGGGUAAAAAGCCCAGAAUGAAAACGAAAUCAUUCUCAAAUGAUUAUUUAAAAUAAUACUAGUCCUUAUUCUACCACCUAAGCACUCAGGUGCUAUAACUUGGCAACAGUCUUCUGAUGGAUAUUAUUAUUUUGUCCAUUCUGCAGAUGAACAAACUGAGGCUGAAGAGAGGUUAAUGGGCUUCAAGACGCAUAGCUGGUGAGUAGCCCCCAAACUGUUCAUAAAUACGCCUUGCUGGUAGUGUUGCGGCUCGUGGCCAGACUGAAGGGUGCUGGUCAGUCUCAUACUAAGAACCCACUUGGGGCAGUGCACUCUGAGAGAUUGAGAAUGUGGCACACAGUCCCUGUGCUAAGACAGUCACAAGGAGUGGGAUGUGGAGGAUAACAGUGUGGGGUCUGAAGAGGGCAGACCUGGACAGUUCUAGCUCUGCUGCUCACUGGCUGAGUGACUGGGCAUGCUUGAUUAGAUUCUGAGCUUUGGUUUCCUACCAGUAUAGUGGAGCUACAACUGUCUACUUUGAAAGGCUGUCAUGAGCAAUACAGUCAUGCAAAGCUAGGGUGCCUGGCACUCAGCACAGAGAUCUCACUAUAGUUCAGCUGAAGAGCAGAAACCUAUGCAGCUAGCACUACGGGGCAAUGCUUGCUAAGUACUGACCUUGAGGUUCCACUAGAGGCAUGCAAAGAAUUACACACAGGUUGCGCUGGGCCCAUUAAGACGGGCUCCUAGAAAGGGUGGGAACUUGGGCUCGUCUUUAAUUUGGAACAAAUGGAGCCCAUGGGAAAUUCACAUGGGUAACUCCAAAGAGCUGAUGGGUAACUAUUUUUAAAGAGUCAACGUUGGCCAUUAAUUCCUUUCCCCAGGGUCAGGUCCUCUGUGCUCCGCCACUUCCUUGAAGCAUCGUACAGAAGAAAUGCCUUUGAUAAAGCUGCCUGGCAGAGAGCAAGCAUGGUAUGUUUUGGGAGCUUGCAGUGGUUUGGCGAGAUCUGAAGGCAGGGCACUGGGGGAGAGGCAGCUGAGCAGUGGGUGGGGCAAGAUCCUUUCACUCCCAGCAAAGGCGGCGUGAGAUUCACUGACUAAAGUCUAGCAACUGAAGUGAGGCAGGGGUCAACUUCCAUUGAAGAGGUGGCCACCAGAGCCAAAUGCCACAGAGAGUUCUUAAGGACUGGAGAUGACCCCUAGCUUUGGUAAUUAUGGACCACAGCGGGGACGCCCUCCCACGGUGAGAAGAACACAGACCUUGAGCUGAGGUCUCUUGACCUGUUUUCCAUGGUGGUGAACUAAACAUGACUACCGUCUUGAAAAUGACCUGUAUCCUACUUCCAGGGGAGGGUCAUGUGAAUACCAGUGCGACUGGGUCCUGGACAGGCUCAGCAGGCACAGAGCAGAAGGCAGGCUGUGGUUGGAGCAGGCCAACUUGGACAUAGAUCCUUGUAUCUUCUGGCAACCCUAAAAUCUUGGCAGUGAAGGUAACAACAAAGUUAGCAUCCACGAUUUCUUCAUGUAAAGUUUGAUAAUGCAGAGGAUGCCCAAAAUUGGAAGGAUGCUUUUCUCCUACUGCAUUCUAGCUUCCUACUAAAAAAUGGCCCACUCAUAGUGGCUCAGAGCUUCAAACCUCCUCAAAUCCCCAGCUCUGUCCAAAUGAUGGGACUACACCUGCUGUGUCACAAAUCAAAUCAAGCAUCCAUGACACAGCACAGUGCAACGUCUCUACUAACAAUUUCUUUCCUUUAGUCAGCUUGGUCAAUGUGGUCUGGGCUGUUGGAUGCACAGUCCUGGAAUAGCCUGCUGUUAUCUGUUGCAUUUUCCCACCUGCACGAUAAAAAUGCAUUCCUCCAGCUUUGGGUUCAUUCUGAUUUUGUUUGGUUAUUGGAAGUUGUGUUGGUGCUUUCUAAAAUGAGAUCAACCUUCAAAGGGAACCAGAGAAGGCGAAAUGAAACAGGAAUGGAGGCGUGUACGAAUAAAGCACACAACUUUAUUCACGAAGUUGUGAGUAUGACAGUGAUGCAGAGUAUAUGACAAAGGAGUGCAGUGAGUGCUGCUUGCAACAGGAGCGGGGAGCAGGUCAGGGUCACAGGCACAGCAGCGUGGAGCUGGCAGGGCCACCUUCUCCUCUGCACACAAGCACGUGGCACUCAGCGCGCCAACACACACCUGCUCAGUUUCAUGGGGAACACAACACAGCUUUUCAAAAGGAAUUCUUCUAAAUAUUUGCUUUCAUAUUUCUGAAAGGGGAGGGAGGGCAGAAGAACUAUAUGCCUUCCAACAUUUGAAAAUAUUCCAUAAACCCAACUUAAAAAUGAAAGAGCCCAGAGAGCUUCAAUGCAGAGCUGUCGGCAACUCACAGGAACCACACACAUCAUUGGACAAGUCUGUACAUAAAACCCCAAAAGAACAUCAGUUUUGCGGACAAUGGUUUCCUCUGCUGUAAAGAAACAUAUGCAUAUAUGAUCAGAAAGCAGCUCACAUCUUUCUGAAAGUCAAAGUCUACACGAUUGUCUCUGUCCACCUUUGGUCACUAAGGUCAGGAAGUGACUCAUGGGAACUGGACUCUUUGGAGAAACACUUUUGGGAAGAAUUUUAUUGAAUAACAACUGCCACUCAAUUAUACUAAGCUUCAGAAAUUGUUGGAUUUGUUUAAUUUUGCUGUGUACAUAUUCAUUGCUUAGAAAGUUUCUUUCAGCUUAAACUGACCAUUUCCCCCUUUCUUUUUGAGUUUUCCAUGAUUAAACUUGCCCAAAUAAAAACCUAACAAUCCAUAUGCAAAGUGUAUCUGUCACCACCUCCCACUGCUUCCUGGGCAGCAAACAGAAAAAAAAACAGUGAUUUUUUUUUUCUUUUUUGUAUUUUAAAAAUGCCAAAGUGAAGGUUUCUCUUUCUCCUAUCACGACAUAGUUGAAUAGUUCCCUUAAAGUACAUCAUUGCUAUAAGCUGGUAUCACUGCAAAUCUCAAGUCCCAAAUAAUCUCUUUUUCUGGAUAGAAAGUUCUUCAAAAGGGAGCACAAAAGAGCAAGCUUUGGGGCAUACUGACAAACACUUCAUUGGUUAGAAGAGAGUAAUUUUAAAAAUCAAAUAAAAUCGAGGCUGGCAUAAGGACUACAGAUGAAAUAGCUACCAGAAACACAGAAGGGGUGAUUAAUAACUGAGACUGCUUCAGAGGACACAGGAGGUUGAUGAGACAGUCCAUUUUCCUUCCACCAUCUUCCGUGACAGUCAGGAAAAGGGUUCUGUGAGCACCCAACCUGGUGUGGCCACCUGUCCCUUUGAUACAUGGGAGGAUGCCAAGACCAAGUUAGCUUUAAAUGGUUUUUAGAAAGACUUACCUAGUCAAAAGUGGUUAAUUUGAAUUUUUCAAACUUGCAAAAGCAUACAUAUUUGAUAUAAUCAUCUGAGAAGCAAUUCUAGAAAAAAAGUUUGCUUCGAUGUCUAAAUAAAUCCAGUGAAAGUUUUAGAAACAUUACCAGCUAGACAUCUCCGAGUUAGAGUUGACUGAUAGACCAGAUUGGGAUGGAGAGGGUGAGAACUGAAAACGAACUGCUCCAGCCUCUGCCUCAGAAGAGGAAACUCAGCUUGGAGAUGACAGAAUUGGGUAGUGGAGUAGAUGCUAGAGCCCAUGACAGAUAGAAAACUACCCCCAUUAAAAAAAACUCAUUAACUCUAGUUGAUCUCUUUGAGGUUUUGAAGAAUAGGCAGUUUAUGUGAAGUUACUGAAGAAGUCAUAUUAAGAACGUUUCAUAACUAACCCCAAACCAAAAUGUCGAUGCAUAGCUAGCUGUGCAAGUUUCCAAAGGCUCUUCCUAUCUCCUAAUAAGUCAUACAGAAAGACUACACGAUAACCUGGGUUUUCUUGAAGAAACUUUUUAAGACCAACUGAUUUUCAUAUCAUCAUAGAGGCCUCUUUUACUUCAUGCCAUCAGUAUGCACAUAAGAGUCCCAAGGAAGUCAAAUGUUCCAAAAUGUAGCCCUUUACAUAUGCACCAGGGAAGCCUGCCAUAUAUAUAAUUCCCCUCCUAGGGUGAACAAGCUCCAUUAGUUUGAGUGCGUUAAUAACUGGAAUUUUCAUGUGUAGUACAGGGUGGGGUGAAAGCAGACAAUACCCACCUCGUGUGCUGUGACCUGGAAGGACACUUUGAGGACAAGCAUGCUGAGCCCAGUUUAACCAAAUGGAUAGGCGUUACAGCCCACAUAAUUCGCUCUGGCAGUUAGCAGGAAACAGGCUGCUCCAUGACCCAUCCCUCCAGCUAGAGCCUUCUGCUGGGAAAUGGAGUAGGGGCCCCACUCCACAUUACGGUUUCCAAUGACCUUCCCCAGAGCAGAGCACUACUCUGCUUGCACACAGGCAGCUACUGGUGCUUUUUGGCAAUGCAUUUCUGCAAGGUGCAGUUUAAAUGAACUCAUAUAGUAUUUGACAUAGAAAGGAACUUUUCUCAAGUUAGAUGCAGAACUGAGUUUAAAAGAUACAAGGAAAGCAGGGUUUCAUUAGUGGGAGCUGACUUAGGGUUCAGUUCUUUACCACUGCAAUCUUAGGCAGGCCCCUAAACUCCUAGUCUUUACAAAAUAAGGGGGUUGUCCCGGUUUUCAGUCUAAUGUCCCCAUUCUAUGACAGACCCGUAUCUUCCUUAUGAAGACCAAGGAAGAGGAAUUUUAGCAAAACUACCUGAUUAUGCCCAUGUUUCCCAAAUACCUUAAUUUUUCUUAUAUUGACAUUUGAUCUGCACGUGUGUGGGUGAUAAUUCAUUAAUCAAUGUAAAACAUGGGGGCCCUUUAUUAGCUCCAUAAUGAAAAAUAAUCUCUCCACCAGCCAAGUGCUGGGACCCACGUGGCCACUGUUGUUACUGACAGGCAAGGAAACAUGAAAUGCAUCAUCCUCUCUGUGCCCACGCUUUCCCAAGUAAAGCAGGGACGAGCACACCCAGGCACUGUGCCACGGCUGCCAGUGCAGGAGGGCAUGGAAAAAGAGGAUGAGAGAGAUGGGACAGAAAAAGCAUGGAAUAAGCAAAAGGCCACUGAGACACCAAAGGCUAAACUGCAAACUUCUGCCUGCCUUCCAACCAAACAAGAGCUGGUCUCAUCUGCUCAUGGCCACCCUGUCAGAGCCAUUUGCUAAAUAUGUUAGUAGGUCCAACACACACACACACACACACACACACACACACACACACACACACGAGAACAGUCCUCAAAUAUUCAGUGCCUAGCACUGAAAGGCUAGGACAAUUUAGAUUCCUUCAGUAAGAGCACAGGAGGAUGCUACAAAACAGUGACAGUGUUCAUUCCAGCCCCCAAACGAUGGCAGUGAGCCACAUAUCAGAGGCUGCAACACAGACUCAGAAACUAUCCUACUUGCUCCUUUACCACUGGUGUCAGAGAGAUAGCUUGUAAGCCUAAUACUUGGUGCCAGCAGGAAGGACUUCAGAGCUUUUGUUCUCACCGGCAUAUGAAGGCAAAUUCAAAUGCUUUCUUCUUGGGCUUUAAAACAGAGCUUAAAUUCUUAAGCAGAGCCCCAAAGCACUAUAAUAAAUAUGACUUAACCUCCUGGGUGUGGAGUUACACACACUCUCCCUCAUCUAAUUCACGUAGGGAAUCAUGAUGUGGUUUUGUUUGCACACAUGUGUUGGUGAAAUCCUAGGCUUAAAUUUGAAUCUAGCAUUGCAGAGUCUGAGGUGCUCUCGCGAGAUGCUCUGACCUCCAUAUCCCGCCUCAUCCUUCCUCGAUCCUGUUAUGAGCUACAUCAGCACCAACACCUUUCCAUGAAGGAAGUGAUGCUGGGGGCGCAGUUUAGCCUCACUCUUGAUCUUGAGUCACAUACACUUGGUGAAAAUGUCUUUAGAAGCUGCAACACCGUGGGACAAACAUUCAAGUAGAAAUUAAAAAGCACAUGCAGACUCACAAAAUUACUCUGAGUGAGUGAAACCAACAUGCACACACACACGCAUGAAGUCAACAGAGCUAGGGAAGAAAAAAGCUGAAAAGGCCAAAUUAAAUCUGUUUAAGCAAGUCUACUUUGGAGCUGCAGAGAUUUAAAAGAGAAAAACAUGUCUUUCCUUAGCCUAUUACUGAAAGAAACCUUAAAAACCAACAGCAUGGGCUUGAUCUGAUUCAUAGGAUGCCAGAGAGACAGCAGAGGACAAUGGUGGAAGGGCUGGAGUCAGUAGGACAUGGGACUUUUUUUUUUUUUUUUGCCAAGAGUGAUAUGGCCUCUGGGCAAAAUCACCUAAUGGCAUGCCACUGCGCCAAUCUGUAGGCAAUUUGUUUUUCCUUUCCUUGCAAAAGUGGAGCUCAAGACAGCUCCUGUCCUCGGCGGAAACCAGAAACCAGGCUUGCUAUGGGAAGCAGAAAGAGUUAAGAGAAGGUUCCCUUUCAUUCCUGUUCCUUCUCUUUUGCUUUUGAACAGUUUUUUAAUAUACUAAUAGCUAAGUCAUUUGCCAACCAGGUCCCGGCAAACGGUAGAGAACAAGGAGCUUGUUAAGAAUUAAUUUUGCUGUUAUUCACCCCAUUCAAACAGAGCUGCCCUGUUCCCUGACCUGCCCUGUUCACCUGCCAGAGCGCAGGUGAAGCAACAUGACGCCAGUCAAGAAAGGUGGCUAUGAAAUCACUGCUGCCACAUGGACAGACCCCUCACUCUUCCUUCUUAGCCACAGCGCUACACAAUAAAUAUAUUUAUACUUUGAAAUUGUGACAACCGAUUUUUCCCAUGUGGCAUCCUAAGGGCACUUGCUGGCUCUUAUCCGUACAGUCAGCACUACUGUUGGAGAACAGGUAGAGGAAAACAAAAGAA